GAUGAACGCUGGCGGCGUGCCUAAUACAUGCAAGUCGAGCGAACGGACGAGAAGCUUGCUUCUCUGAUGUUAGCGGCGGACGGGUGAGUAACACGUGGAUAACCUACCUAUAAUACUGGGAUAACUUCGGGAAACCGGAGCUAAUACCGGAUAAUAUUUUGAACCGCAUGGUUCAAAAGUGAAAGACGGUCUUGCUGUCACUUAUAGAUGGAUCCCGGCUGCAUUAUCUAGUUGGUAAGGUAACGGCUUACCAAGGCAACGAUGCAUAGCCGACCUGAGAGGGUGAUAGGCGACACUGGGACUGAGACGCGGUCCAUAGUCCUACGGGAGGGAGCAGUAGGGAAUCUGACGCAGUGGUGGAAAACCUGACGGAGCAACGGGAAGUGAGAGAUGACGGUCUUCGGAUCGUAAAACUCUGUUAUUAGGGAAGAACAUAUGUGUACGUAAAUGUGCACAUAUUGACGGUAACUAAUAAGAAAGCCACGGCUAACUACGUG
rnacentral:rRNA from 1 species